GACGUGACCUUAUGAGAAUGUGGAUUUGAGGAGGAUAAAUAUCCCAAAGAGAUUCGACAUGAGAGAUUGUGUGUGAUAGUGUGUGACAUAGUUUCGGUGUUUGGUGCUUGUGUGAUUAAGCUGAUUUAUGUGUUGGUGUUGACGGUGUGUGGCGGUUGCUCCAAGACAUGGAGAAGUGAAGUCUAGGCUCAUGGGGAAUUUAGCUCAAGGUGAGGUUAUCUUUAUGA